rnacentral:misc_RNA from 1 species
GCUCUACUUCAAGUGAUCUGUAACUUCUACAAAGGCAUCCACUAGGGCCACCAGGACUUCCUAAGCAAUUAAUGCAUUCUAUUAUAGGACAAUAGUUCUAACAAUGCCCCAUGGCCCACACUAUUCAGCUUAUCUAGAAUCCAUCCAAAACCACUUGCUGGACUUCAAAAAAGAUUCAUGCUAAUAUCGGAGCUUCCUUCGGUUAGGAUCCAUCACUAGCACUCUAAAAUAAAGAAAAGCCCUUCACCGUUUCAUAUUAAUAAGCUGAAGCAGUGAUAAAUGCCCUUAUAACCCCAAGAAGUGAUUCAAAAGAUUCCGAUAAACAUUUCAAGUAAAAACCUCAGGUUAACAAAGCAGAAUAUGAGUUCGAAGAAGGAGCGCAAUUGUAAAAGAGUUGCAAGGAACUAAAAAGGGUGAAAAUUUAACAGAAAAUAGAUGCAGAUUAAGAUUCAUCAUUUCUUAGAGGUACCAUGUUCCAACUACAAGGUUCGUCAAUUAAAAAAAAAAGGCCGGAGCUUAGAUAAAUAUCAAACAAACGGUGAAAAAAAAAAACAUAAUAUGCAGCAAACCAGUCUGGUACCAGAUCUCCAAAUAAAAAUGUUGUCAAGAGAUUUAAGAUUAUUACAGAAAAAUUU